CGCGUACCAAUGAAGACCCAACGCAGCCAAAAAUAAAUAAAAUUAUAACAGUUCUCCCUGGGGAAGGGGUCCCCAACCCCCAGGCCACGGACCAGUACCUGUUAGGAACUCGGCGGCACAGCGGGAGGUGAGCGGCAGGUGAGCGAGCAAAGCUUCAUCUGUACUUACAUCUUCAUUGCUCGUACUACCACCUGAGCUCCGCCUCCUGUCAGCAUUAUGCAACAAGAUUAUCAGACUCUGCUUAUAUGAUUCAAAUGUAAAGACGUUUUAAAAGAAUGACCAGAUGGAUCAGAAGUACACUUUACUGGAAGGCAGUGGGAAACAAAGUGUCCCGAGGAGGGUCCAGAAUGAAGGACUUAGACAAAUUUAUUUCCAGCUUCUCCUUAGUCUGAGCUGCACAAAGCAGUUUCCGAGGUAGGCUGGGAGGCAGCUGCUGAGUGGGAAGACUCGUGUGGACUUUGGAAUCAGACAAGACUUGGGCUGCGUCCAGUAACCACUAGCCAUUGGACAGGCUCCUCGGCCUCUCUUAACUUACUUGGUAGAGUAGUUGUGAGGAAUAAAAGAGAUCAUAUGCACUGAGAAGCUGGCACGCGGUAGGGGCUCAAGGAGUCAAAACCACGUUGAUUGUAUAUGUAAUCUUAGAAGCUAGCACUCAUAUAUCAAACAGUGAACAUAAACAGUUUAGGGUUCCUUACCUUUGGGAUUGUUCAAUGGACUAUACCCCUCAUUUUUAUACUUCAUUGGGAGGUGACUACAAUGCCAUGUUAAAACAUUUUUAUCCCAACAAUAUAAUAAUAAAUUUGCUCAAAGUGACCAUAACUGGUUAGGAUAACAUUUAUUUGUAAGAAUGAAAAUAAGGAAGAAUGAAAACACAUUUGGUUGACGGCGCUCCUUUUAAAUGAGAAUUUUGAAAUACUUUAUAUAGAAUCAAAACUAUUUAGGAAUAAAAAUAAAAUCUGUCAAUUCAAUCAGUUAUCUUUUCUUGAUAUAAUAGUAAAAAUUAACAGAGCUCUAUAUAUCAAAAUCAUUCUCUACAGAAGUCAUGAUAGGAUGGAUAUAUCUAUAAAGAUGUCAUGCUUGGGGAAAAGAGAGGGAUGAAUAUGAAAUUCCAUAAUAAGAAGCCAGUGUUGUCAUGGAUUUUAGUAUUCUAGUGUAUCUCAAGUGUUCUUGCUGCUGCUGCUUUUGUUUUUAAAUUGGAAGCACUGGCAGCCUAUAGUCAGUGUUCUUUUUCUUAAUUAAGUUGAUAUCUGUACUUCCAUAAUUCUUCCAGGGGGAGAAGGACU